rnacentral:lncRNA from 1 species
CCGCUUUCACGUCCAGUCUCCAUGCAAAUCCGCCACCCUCCAUUCUCCACACGUCACAAGGCAGAAUCAGAGAAUUCCUCUCCCUCCCACACGCGUACUGUAACCUCACCCUGCACGUGAAUGCCGGGUACGUUAGCAUCGCCCUUUCCUUCAUCACCAACCACACCAUCAUCCCUCCACACUGCCCUACCAUUUCCCUGUAAGCCCCAUUAGUCCACGUCACCCUCCCCAUGCCGUCCGAUAUGAACCCUGGACACGUGUCCCUUCCCAGAUUUCUCCUCCUUUCCUCGUCCGUACUCCCCAGUCCACCCCCCUCCACCCAAGUCUCCGUCACGCAUUCCACCGUCACGCACGAUCCCACCAACCUCACCGCCUCGGGCGUCACCACCCCCGGAUCUGAUCCACACCCUAAUCCAUCACCCAUCAGUUCCCCAAAUCUAUUAUCACUACUACUGCUCCCAAAACUCAGCCACACGGGAAACUUUUGUCCCUUCUUGGCUUCCUCCGGGUACCCUCUCGCCGGCGAGUCUUUCCGGUCCGGAGUCUCCGGCAACAAGGGCAGUGUCACCACUGUAUCUCCGUUGUACCCAUUUCGUUUCUCUUCCCGAUUCGACACCCUUCUCUUCCUAUUGCACCUCUUGCUGUUGUUUGUGUUUUCGUUGCUGCUGACGUUGUUCUUGUUUUCUUUCGAGUACUUUCUCUUGCCUCUUCCACAAUUAGAGUACACUUCACUGUUACACUCCAGCGGCGGAACGGAUCCGCCGGUUGCCGGUUUCGGGGCAAUCGGUCGGAACCGGAGCAUUAUCUGAUCCACUUGGGAAAUAUGGUAGACCCCACCAUCACCAGCAUACCUCGCUAUGCAGCAUCCACCCCUACCGUCCAUUGUUCUUCUUAAUUUUAUUUUCUCUCACCCUCUACAAUUCCCUCACUCUCUCUCACUGCAACUCAGUUUUUCUUCACAGUUUCCUGAGUUCACCGGAGUCGGUUGAUUUUUUUGCGCAGAUUUGGAGGGGAGCAAUCUGGACGCAUUAAAGAAGAUUGCUGGCGUAUGAGGAGGAGAAAGUAUGGGAGACGUGACUGGUGUUUAUAAGAACUCCGCCGCGACACGUGUGGAGGGCUGACACGUGUGAAAAGGUAGGUUUAACAGC